rnacentral:rRNA from 1 species
UGGCGGCGUGCCUAACACAUGCAAGUCGAGCGAGAAAGUUCCCUUCGGGGAGCGAGUACAGCGGCGCACGGGUGAGUAACACGUAGGUAAUCUGCCCCGUAGUCCGGAACAACUAGGGGAAACUCUAGCUAAUGCCGGAUAAGACCACGGCCACCUCGGUGGCUGCGGCCAAAGGCGGCCUCUUCAUGAAAGCUGUCGCUAUGGGAUGAGCCCGCGGCCCAUUAGCUUGAUGGUGAGGUAACGGCUCACCAUGGCUACGAUGGGGUAGCCGGCCUGAGAGGGUGAUCGGCCACACUGGAACUGAGACACGGUCCAGACUCCUACGGGAGGCAGCAGUGGGGAAUAUUGGACAAUGGGCGCAAGCCUGAUCCAGCCAUGCCGCGUGGGUGAUGAAGGCCUUCGGGUCGUAAAGCCCUGUCAGGAGGGAAGAAAAACGGUAUGGCUAACAUCCAUACCGCUUGACGGUACCUCCAGAGGAAGCACCGGCUAACUACGUG